GCCUUCUUGGUGUAAUGGUUAGCACACUCGACGCGCAUUCUAGAGUUCCGAGGUUCUAGUCCCGGCGAGGGCA
rnacentral:tRNA from 1 species